rnacentral:misc_RNA from 1 species
CUCGGUUCUUGUUCCGUC